AUUGUCAUCAUGCACGAAAACAUGUUUAAAUGAUAUAUGAAGUGAGCUCUUUGCUUGAAUCUAAUUGGUGUCCUGCUAUUCUCUAUAUUUAGAAAGUGAUUCUCUAUUCUUCUUUUUUUGAAUUUGAGUUGCUGUUUUUUUUGCUUCCGUUUGUCAAAUCUAUACUUUUGCUUUGCUUUUGCAAUCAAGUCCAGGCUUGAGUCAUACGGAAUGGUCAAGAACGAUAUUCUGUAAGGCCUUCUCUCUCUAAAUUCUGGCACUCUUAACUCUUUCGUCGGGUGGUCCAUGUUGACAAUUCAAAAGUUUUUAGCAUGCAUCGACUUUGGAUGCAUCGUCUCUUCAUCUUUCAAGCUUUUAUGCUGAGGCAGCGGAGUAAAGUGAUUGACAUAAAUGGACAGUUUCCAGCAUUGAUUGAGAGCAAUGUUUUCGUCCGUAUGUUCAGUGGCUUCUCGAGGGUUUAUGUCAUUCGUCCGGUGAUGAGGGGAUAUGCUAUGUUCUACGUUCGUGUACUGUCUCCAUUCAUUUAGUCAUUGGAUUUGUGCCACGUGACGUCCCUCUCUCUUUCUCUCUCUGCCCAUACCCACGGCAAAGGAGAGCACCCAAUGAACGCCACUGCAGCCGCUGCCGGCGGCAGCCACGUUUCUCUCUCUGACACAUGCCCUAGAUCUGGGUUUUCUUGUGCUCAGUCCGAGAUUGUUAGGGUCUCGGCUCAAUCGUGGAUCGAGGACUCGAAUCAACCUCGAGCCAUCAAUAAUUAACAGCUGUCUCCACCUCUCUCUCUUUCUCUCUCUCUCUCUAACACAUGCCCUAGAGCUGAUCUUUCUCGUGCUCGGUCCGAGAUCAUUAGGGGACCAUGGAUCGAGGACUCAAAUCAAACUCGAGCCAUCAAUAAUUAACAGUUGUCUCCGCGUCGUCAUUUCUAUUGGAUUAAUCCCAUACAGCAUCCACAGAAUAUAUUCCAUUGUCCACUAGUCCCAAUGAUUUUUAAGUUGUUGUAGUCCUCCAGGGAUCCUAGAAAAGUGCAAAAGCCGUCGAAAUGAAGCAAUAAUGACUUGUUAUUGCUAACAGAAGUUAAAUAAGUGACCCUACCUCAUUAGAAGUUCAAGGCAGUGUUUCAAUUCCAGUUGGG
rnacentral:lncRNA from 1 species